rnacentral:tRNA from 1 species
GCGGGGGUCGGAGCGACGACCCCCAGCCGGGACUAUCCCCACUUGACUUCCCGCAGCCGCUUCUCGGUCACGGCCGGCCGUCAGGGGCGCGGGUUCGAAUCCCGUCUCCCGCG